UACGUAGGGUCCGAGCGUUGUCCGGAAUUAUUGGGCGUAAAGGGCUCGUAGGCGGUUUGUCGCGUCGGGAGUGAAAACACGGGGCUUAACCCCGUGCCUGCUUCCGAUACGGGCAGACUAGAGGUAUGCAGGGGAGAACGGAAUUCCUGGUGUAGCGGUGAAAUGCGUAGAUAUCAAGAGGAAUGCCUGAGGUGAAGACGGGUUGCUAGGGCGAUGCUGACGCUGAAGCGCGAAAGCCAGGGGAGCAAACGGG
rnacentral:rRNA from 1 species